UGGUAUUCCGAGGAGCAUGCCUGUUGAGUGUCAUG
rnacentral:rRNA from 1 species